UACAGAGGUCUCAAGCGUGGUUCGGAUUCAUUGGGCGUAAAGGGUGCGUAGGCGGCGCGGUAAGUCGGGUGUGAAAUCUUGGAGCUUAACUCCGAAACUGCAUUCGAUACUGCCGUGCUUGAGGACUGGAGAGGAGACUGGAAUUCAUGGUGUAGCAGUGAAAUGCGUAGAGAUCAUGAGGAAGACCAGUGGCGAAGGCGGGUCUCUGGACAGUUCCUGACACUGAGACACGAAGGCCAGGGGAGCAAACGGG
rnacentral:rRNA from 1 species